ensembl:lncRNA
GUUGAACUGCUACAACUCAUGUCACACCUUUUACAGAUAUUACACAGCAAGGAUGAGGAUGAAUCUAACAAACGGUUGGAUAGCAGCUGCAGGGAUCUUUGUAAAGAAAUAUUAACUCUGUGUUUUUGGGACUUUUCAGCUUAUGGUGCUGGCUUGGGAACACUUCCAGGAUAUGGAUCUUUAGGGGGCAUUGGCUAUCUUGGAGCACGACCAGGUUAUGCUGGUGGAGCGGGAAACUACAUGGGAGCAAGCCUGGGGGCUUUGGGUUAUGGAGCAGGGUUGGGACAGGGAGCGUAUUUGGGUGGAGCAGCUGGAAAACUUGGAGCUGCUGCUGCACUUGGGCAGGGUGGUUAUCCCCAAGGUGUUGCAGGAAAGUCGACUGGUUAUGGUGAUGGAGCAACAGGAUAUCUUGGUGCUGUGGCAGGGAACGGCCUGGGUUACGGGAAUGGUGAUGGCUAUGGAGCUGACCUUGCUUACCCUGCAGAGUUAGCCGAUGGUGCUGAGAAAAAAGCAGGGAAGAGUGAAGCCCUCAGUCCUGGAGGCUAUGCUGGACAGGUCCAGGGGGGCUAUGGAGCACUUGGGGCAGGCCUGGAAUCAACUGGUGGCAAAUAUGGAGGAGGAGCUGGUCAGGCUCCUUAUGGUAAUGCCCCAGUGCUUCCUGCUGGACUGGAAGGUGAUGGCGGCUAUCCGUAUGCUGCACAGCAGCUUGGUCUUGGAGCUGAAGGUGCUAAAUCUGCAAAAUAUGGCCCUGGUGCAGGAUAUGGAGCUCAACAAGCAGGGUUCGGUGCACAGCUAGGGCCAGCUCAAGAUGCUUUGGGAGAGCAGACUGGCAAAUAUGAUCGAGUGAAUGCUGCCCUGGGUAACGGAUACAAAGGCUAAUUCCCACGACGCUGACCUCUUCAAGUGGAUCAUUACCAUAAAGUGUUCAGUCCAAUGAGGUUGCAGAGCUUUUCUGUGUGAUUUACUCUACUUUGUUAUGUUGUCAUGUCUGUAUGUCUUUUGUUUCAUUCUUCUCAUCCACCUUGUCCUUCUCUGUGAACGGACAUCUGUAAACCAGAUGUCUGUCUGCUUGUCUCCCUCCUCUCAAACCUGCAGCACCCACGGGUUUGUUCCUGGCAGUGCUAAAAAGGCUUGGUGGUGAUUGAUAAACAUAAAUGGAUGUGAAAUGCAAGAAAUAUGUCCCUUUGUUUUGGAAUAAUGAUUUGUUCUGUUUUAAUCCAAUAAAUUAUAUCACCCAGUGACGC